rnacentral:tRNA from 1 species
GGGGCUGUAGCUCAGUGGUGGAGCAUUUGCCUUGCAAGUGUAAGGCACUGGGUUCCAUACUCAGCACCA